rnacentral:lncRNA from 1 species
GGUGAGAUGGACAUGGCAUGUCUCUGUGUGAGUUGGGGAUGUUUGCUAGUGGCAGGCUGGCUGUGCAGUGCUGCUGGACACAGAGCAGCACCACUCUGCUCCCCCAGCACCACUCUGCUCCCCCAGCAGCACUCUGCUCCCCCAGCUCCACUCUGCUCCCCCAGCACCACUCUGCUCCUCCAGCUCCACUCUGCUCCCCCAGCACCACUCUGCUCCUCCAGCUCCACUCUGCUCCCCCAGCACCACUCUGCUCCUCCAGCUCCACUCUGCUCCCCCAGCACCACUCUGCUCCUCCAGCUCCACUCUGCUCCCCCAGCACCACUCUGCUCCUCCAGCUCCACUCUGCUCCCCCAGCACCACUCUGCUCCUCCAGCUCCACUCUGCUCCCCCAGCACCACUCUGCUCCUCCAGCUCCACUCUGCUCCCCCAGCACCACUCUGCUCCUCCAGCUCCACUCUGCUCCCCCAGCACCACUCUGCUCCUCCAGCUCCACUCUGCUCCCCCAGCACCACUCUGCUCCUCCAGCUCCACUCUGCUCCCCCAGCACCACUCUGCUCCUCCAGCUCCACUCUGCUCCCCCAGCACCACUCUGCUCCUCCAGCUCCACUCUGCUCCCCCAGCACCACUCUGCUCCUCCAGCUCCACUCUGCUCCCCCAGCACCACUCUGCUCCUCCAGCUCCACUCUGCUCCCCCAGCACCACUCUGCUCCUCCAGCUCCACUCUGCUCCCCCAGCACCACUCUGCUCCUCCAGCUCCACUCUGCUCCCCCAGCACCACUCUGCUCCUCCAGCUCCACUCUGCUCCCCCAGCACCACUCUGCUCCUCCAGCUCCACUCUGCUCCCCCAGCACCACUCUGCUCCUCCAGCUCCACUCUGCUCCCCCAGCACCACUCUGCUCCUCCAGCUCCACUCUGCUCCCCCAGCACCACUCUGCUCCUCCAGCUCCACUCUGCUCCCCCAGCACCACUCUGCUCCUCCAGCUCCACUCUGCUCCCCCAGCACCACUCUGCUCCUCCAGCUCCACUCUGCUCCCCCAGCACCACUCUGCUCCUCCAGCUCCACUCUGCUCCCCCAGCACCACUCUGCUCCUCCAGCUCCACUCUGCUCCCCCAGCACCACUCUGCUCCUCCAGCUCCACUCUGCUCCCCCAGCACCACUCUGCUCCUCCAGCUCCACUCUGCUCCCCCAGCACCACUCUGCUCCUCCAGCUCCACUCUGCUCCCCAGCAUCACUCUGCUCCCCCAAAGCUCCACUCUGCUCCCCCAGCACCUCUCUGCUCCUCCAGCUCCACUCUGCUCCCCCAGCACCUCUCUGCUCCUCCAGCUCCACUCUG